CCUACGGGGGGCAGCAGUGGGGAAUAUUGGGCAAUGGGCGCAAGCCUGACCCAGCAACGCCGCGUGAAGGAAGAAGGAUUUCGGGUUGUAAACUUCUUUUCUCAGGGACGAAGCAAGUGACGGUACCUGAGGAAGAAGCCACGGCUAACUACGUGCCAGCAGCCGCGGUAAUACGUAGGUGGCAAGCGUUAUCCGGAUUUACUGGGUGUAAAGGGCGUGUAGGCGGGACUGCAAGUCAGAUGUGAAAACCACGGGCUCAACCUCUGGCCUGCCUUGGAAACUGUCGUUCUUGAGUGCUGGAGAGGCAGGCGGAAUUCCUAGUGUAGCGGUGAAAUGCGUAGAUAUUAGGAGGAACACCAGUGGCGAAGGCGGUCUACUGGACAGCAACUGACGCUGAGGCGCGAAGGCGUGGGGAGCAAACAGGAUUAGAUACCCUGGUAGUC
rnacentral:rRNA from 1 species